UCUAGGUGAAAAAGAAGUACAGAUUUAACACCAUCAAAAGUCAAUAUUCGAGAAAGAGAGACAGAUUUAGCAUUAGCUGUACCAAUCAAAUCAAUGUUAACAUGCACUUAUUCUCUGCAUGGGAGUAAGACACCAAACACAAUUGAAAAAAUGAGCCAAGUAUAAAAAAUGUGUCACAAAGGGAUGGAUUUAGACAGACAGAAGAGCAGUGAAGUAGGUUAUAAAAUGCUCAGCAUAAUCCAUUUUAAUGAAUUAUUAGCUGAAACAUGCAAAGCGUUUAGGAUUUCUGGGAGACGUGUACAAACAUACCAAAUGUUUGUCUGACAUUUUCUUCCCUGCUUCUGUCUUUCUCCAGGGCUGGAGAUGCUGUUGACUGAUGGCCUUGGGAGGAGAGGUUGCAGCUGAGCCCACACUCUCAAAAUCCUCCAGACUGUUUCUACUUUUGUAGACUAAUUUUCUGUUAACCCAAAAUCCCUCAGACUUACUCAACCAGUACAGCAGUCAUUGGCCGGAGUUCAAUUUUCUGGUUCGAAGGAAUGUCCGGUGGCAUCCCUUCUCUAGCGGCUGCAUGCUGACACUUCGCUUCCUGCAUGGACCACUGGGCUCCUGGGUGUCUGGAAGGAGUCCACUGAAUUUCCAUGCAAACCUGGUGUCUGCUGAUGGGCCUGGUCUGAGAAGGGUUCCUGGGAUGGAGGACAAGGCUUUGGCACCCAGGAGCUCUGAACCCGAUGUUAGUAGUUUGGCCAGCUCAUCCUGGACAUUGGCUAAUGUCUCAUGCAUGGAGUGUGCUGGCCUGAAGGCCAAAGCUGGCCAGGGCAGGAAGUCGGCCCGAAAGGUCGGUGCCAGUUAACGAUACAACACAUAGCAGAGGCCUGAGGAUUCAGCGGGCUUGGCUAAAACCCUCGUUUGGCCUGCUUGCUAUUUCUCUUUUAUCCUGCUGACCAAGAGCUGUGUGACACCCUUGGACAGCAGUCACAUAUUUUCUUUUCAUGUAAAAAUAGUAAGCUGAAAUUUCAUACAGAAAAUGAGAAUUAUAUGUACAUUAAUCUUUAUGCCUACAAGAUACUGUGACAAACGAAAAGAGAAACCAAAAUAAAAUAUACAUUUUCUGGGAAGGAAAAUUUUAUGUUUAGUGGGCAUGCUGUUAAAAUAUUUAUCAUUUACAAUCAGUUUUAAGGGAGAUAGAAUCUGCAAUAACGUUUUUGAGGACAACAGUGGAGGCUACUUCUGUAUCUGAUUUAGAAAUAGACACCAGAGUUCAUCCCUCCUGAGUCAAUGGGUGUUUUGAAUGCCUUUUUAGAGCACUCUAAGAUAUAUAAAUGACACAGUCUCAACCAUUUGGUAGAUUCAGCAUCUCUCCUGAACUAAUCCGUGAUACUAGACAGAAAGCAUGUUGGUAAGCUUCACGAGAUGGACGGCCUCCUUCUUGGGGAUCAUGCAUUCCCACCAGGAAACAUGAGACUUCCAAUGACUUCUCACAAGGGAGUCCCUGGUCCCCACUCCACUGAUGAGUAUCUACUUCCCACCCAUUCA